rnacentral:rRNA from 1 species
CCUACGGGAGGCAGCAGUAGGGAAUAUUGCUCAAUGGGGGAAACCCUGAAGCAGCAACGCCGCGUGGAGGAUGAAGGUUUUCGGAUUGUAAACUCCUUUUGUUAGAGAAGAAAAUGACGGUAUCUAACGAAUAAGCACCGGCUAACUCCGUGCCAGCAGCCGCGGUAAUACGGAGGGUGCAAGCGUUAUUCGGAAUCACUGGGCGUAAAGAGCGCGUAGGCGGGAUAGCAAGUCAGAUGUGAAAUCCUAUGGCUUAACCAUAGAACUGCAUUUGAAACUGUUAUUCUAGAGUAUGGGAGAGGUAGGUGGAAUUCUUGGUGUAGGGGUAAAAUGCGUAGAGAUCAAGAGGAAUACUCAUUGCGAAGGCGGCCUGCUAGAACAUAACUGACGCUGAUGCGCGAAAGCGUGGGGAGCAAACAGGAUUAGAUACCCGAGUAGUC